rnacentral:lncRNA from 10 species
GUGGCAUUUCUGGCUAAGCCGUUAGGCGCGAAUUAUAUGGAGAUAUAUACACACACGUAUCUGAAAACAUUCUGACGUUUUAAAAACGGAGCACCAGAGGAGGGGGACUUCAUCUGACUUGUUCAGCACUGUCUCCCAGGCCCUGGCACAGAGGGAGCACUCGAUACACACCGAUGGGCUGAAGGUGUGAAUGGAUCUGGGGACUAGAGUGAUGGUUAUUUGGCAGACAGCAUGCCCCGCCUGGGCAGUAGCCGUGAAGACUCUUCUUUUCCUCUCCUCGCCUGCACUCUUUAGGAUUGAACAGCAUUGGUUCAAUGCAUAUUCUGGGAGCACAGAGAAAAAAGGGAUCAAGUUCCACCAUUAUGCAAAAGGGACUCCUGUAAGCCAGGUGAAGAAGGGGCAAGGCCCUUCUUGGUCAGCAGGGAUAAGGCAGUUGUGUAUGGGAGAGCAUGCGAGGAGGGCGAGGGCUGGGGGAGAUGGAGCAGGAACAUUUGGUUGGGGCUCUGAGGCACUCUUCUGCUUGGGGAGUGUGUGGGCAAAGGCAGGGGCUGUGCAGGAAGGAUUUAGCUAAAGCCAUAAAGCUGGAAGAGGGUUUGGGGAACGGCUUUGAAGUUACAUUUGUUUUGCAAGUUCUUUGUUUUUAUUAAUGUUUGCAUGUUAUUUGGGUAGCUGUAGGGAGUAGGUUUUCGGGGAGUUAAAGUGCACUCUCUCACCCCUCCUUCAGUCCUACUACUGCCCCUAGAUACACAAUCACCUCAAGUGACUUUCACGUCACCAGGAAUGGGCAAAGUCUAGAUUUUGGAACAGAAAAUAUUUUAGGUCCCCGUCCCUCUCUGUAACCAAUAACCAAUGCCAUAUAAAUGGAAAAGUAUAAAGAAGUCCAG